UGGGUUUACUGAUUACGGUUUCCUAGAUUGUACAGAUGAACUAGAACUGUCACAAUUUAUGGGGUCGUAGACAGUGUGCUUA
rnacentral:miRNA from 1 species